GUCCUUUUAUCAUUCCCUCUCUCCCAAAAUAUCUCACACGCCCUUUCCCUGCCUCCACCUCACCCCCACGCCCUAGCCCCACCUCCACCUCUCUCUCUCUCUCUCUCUCUCUCUCUCUCUCUCUCUCUCUCUCUCUCCUUUCAAGUGCCCUCUCUCGUUCCCAUUUCUUUCCCCCUUCUCUCUCUCUCUCUCUCUCUCUCUCUCUCUGGUUUCUCCUUUCAAGUUCCCUCUCUCGUUCCCAUUUGUUUCCCCCUUUUCUUCUUCUAGGGUUAGGAUUUUUAUUUCCCAUUUUUAAUAUUUUCUUCACCUCUCUUCUACGCAAGAGGGAAAGCAUCGUGUUGACGGUGAUUCCGUCAGUGGGGGCGAUUCGAGCAUCAGCAGCAAGUUUGUGGACACUGAACAAUUUCAGAGGUAAGUAACAAUUUCAACAUUUCUCCUCCUCAGGAAUGGCCCUCUCCCUCUCAUCCUGGUCUUCUCCUGCUGCUUCGUUUCUCUCUCCACCUCGGAGAUUCCUUACCCCUUCCUUCAAGCUUCAUGCCUCUGUUUCUUCCUCCAUCCGUCCUCCACCCAAGGUCAUCCUCAAAAGGGAGCUCGGUAAGAACGGCAAGCUCAUCGAUGCUCUGGGAAAAAGGUUCUAUGCAGAGGAAGGUAGAGGUACUUCGUGAUUUGAGGCAUUUGUUAACGAAGUCUGAGGUGCCUCCUGUUGAAGCAGCCCUCAAAGCUGUGGGAAAUUCCUGUUCUUGUGCAGUGCCUUUCAUUUGGAUCACCAGAUGAGCAGGUCCAGAAAUUUUGACUUCUGUUGUCGUAGUAUAUAGCUGGUUUAAACAUUUCUUGUAUAGGUCAUUCUUGUUAGAAAUUGGAAGCUAAUCACUUAUUCAACAUUCACAUCUUAGGAGUAAGAUUUUCCUGUUAAUUACAUGCUUUUGGGAGUGCAUGAAUUGGUAAUGUUCAUUCGUAUUGUGGGUGUGUGCUUGUGCUUCAAUGGCUGUUUGCAAUAUUCUACGUCUCUAAUGCCCCUCACAGGAAAAAGAGAAAAGAAAAAAAAAAAAAAAGCAAAGAAAAAGACAAUGCAGCCUUUAAGGGAAUUUUUCAUUAUUUCUUUGCUGUUAUAUUGCAGUUGCUUGAAGCAGCCUAGUGUCUAACUAACAUAGCAGCUGGAGAACCAGAACAGACAAAGGCUCUAUUGCCUGCAUUACCUCUGAAUGUCCCUGUAAAUUUCUUUAUUUACUGCUACGUUUGAAUGUCCCUGUUAUUUGGUUCUGAUUCUCGCUAUUUACUCAAUCGCUAUCUUAACAAGUACCUUUGCAUUGUUAUGGUUCUUUGAGUUCAGAACUUUUCUGUUUGGGAUUCUUACAGUGGAGAAAUCUACUUUCAUGGAGAAUGAAGUGGUUGCAGCAAAUCAAGGGAAUGGAACAAAGAGAAAGAGCCAGUUCCAACUUAAAUCUGUGGAGAGUUUUUAUUUGGGUAUCUUUAGCUCUCCAACUUCUGUAAAUUCACUGAUUUGGUGGUUAGGUUAAUUCUAUCCUUCCUCGUCUCACCACUGAUCAUCAAUCUCAAUAUCCUCAUUUCAGCCAUGCUUAUUCUUAGAACAUGUUGUUCCUUAACUGACUAGCAUUUUUAUUUUUAUUUUUGAAAGUUGAAGGUUCAAAGCUCUUUUCCUCUGAAUGAAUGUCAAAACUGUUGGGAGAGAACUCCUUACAAAACACAGCUUUACUUUCUAUAGACACAGCUCUAUAAGUCUCCAUAUCACCCAACCAUUCACCAGAGAUUUCAGUAUCUAAGGACCAUGGUAUCGAAUAACAACAUUUUCAACAAGAUCUUGAACAUGAUCCUACCAUGCGAACCGGCUUCCUGCUCCGUCAAGAAAGCAAUCAAUAUGCCACCCUCUUACUUUUAGUUCAGACAAAAAUGAAGGGAACACAUUAUCCAUUUUCCCAUAAGCCUCAGAUAACACCCCAUCACUCAGCACAUGUCCCAACUUCUGUAUAUCUGUAGCAUGUGCAGAUACCAACCACCCCCUCAGUGCAUCUUCACCUGUUGCACUGUGCUCCAAGACUGUCUGUCUGCUUACUUUCACAAUUUAUAAGAAAUUUCUCAUUCAGGAAUAUUUCUCUCAACUUGCUGAGAUGCCUUCUUGACAACCUUGUGUAAAGCCCUGCCCACCUUCACACUUCCAGCAUCUUCUAUGAGCCGCUCUGGGAAGAGGAGAUCUUCCUGGUUUUUGGGACUUCAUGAGCAUGAAGAAAUCCCUGCAGCCUGCCAGAGUGCAUUUGACGUUGCCUGUUUACGCAUGGAAGAGAGACUAGCCUACUCCACUUUUGAACAGGACAUGGUGCUUUUGCAUCACGAAGUGGAAGUAGAAUUCCCAUAUGGGCGGCCAACGGAAAAUCACUGUGCCACUCUCUUGGAGUUUGGAAGAACGAAAGAUAGGAAAAUAACCACUGCCAUGGGUCUCACAGUCGGCAUUCCAGAAGCCAUAGGAGCUUUGGGUGAGUUUCAGACUGAAAACUGAUACAAAUCUCCUUGAGAUUGCAAAGUGCAAGACAUCUGUGUCUUCAAUUGAAUUUAUUUGCUCUCUAUUUUGUAAGCCAUCAUGGGAAAGGAGAAGGUUCACAUUAACAUUGUCAUCAUUGGUCAUGUCGACUCUGGCAAGUCGACCACAACUGGGCAUCUUAUCUACAAGCUUGGUGGAAUUGAUAAGCGUGUGAUUGAGAGGUUUGAGAUGGAAGCUGCUGAGAUGAAAAAGAGGUCAUUCAAGUAUGCAUGGGUUCUUGAUAAGCUCAAGGCUGAGUGGGAGCGUGGUAUCACUAUUGAUAUUGAUAUUGUAAUUGAUUGAAUG